rnacentral:lncRNA from 1 species
UCAUGCUCAACUCACAUAUGUCAUUAGUUAAGCUCAUCGAGACUGAAUUCCCUGACCGACCAUUAAUACAUCAUCCCCACACUUCUGGUUAUGUUCUUUGUAACAUGGGACUAUUUACAUGUGGGACACACUGUUGGCGCUUUUCAAAGAAGUUAACAUGUGAAAAGUAGCAGAACCGGUACAGUAGAAAAGGCCAUCUAGUUACUGAACUGGUCGUGCAUGGCCGUGCAUGUACAUAGUACAUAAACGUUGAAUGUUCAAUGCCACAGAAACCCCAAAUGUUUUCUAUUCUUCAGCCUCUAAUGCGCCCUGAUAGAAGGCUUUAUCAAGAUAGAGACAACACCCGAGAACUACUGCCACAACCUCAUCCAUAAAUGACAUCUACCGAGCAUUUUCUGCAACAAAUUAAGUAAAGUUUACCUAGAAUCCCAAUCCAUAUUUCUCUCCCCUCUCCUGCAACUCGCACAAGUAUAACAAUCAGUAUAUAUGGACACAGCUGCAUGAGGGCACAUCAAGGAACAACAAAAAAACACAUCAAUCAGGAUGCUUGUUCAGUAUACACACUUUCGCAAACAUUAUCUUCUCCUUUUCAUAUUUGAUUUCUAGCACAUAAUAAACACCAUCAUCCAUAUUUCAAAGUCUUGGUUGUUAAUUUUGCAUCAUGUGUGUGGCAAUCUGGGUUCAGCAAAAGCUCUGAAUCUUUUCCUGAUAAUCUUAGUGUCAUAAUAUAGUCUUCUCUGCCAAUGAGUAAUGGUUGGAAACAAGAAACACAAGAGGUUUUAUAUGCUAAUGAUAAUAUGCUACAUAAAUAAAUAAAUAAAACAGAGAUGAGAUGAACCAAAAAAUUGAGCUUGUAGUACAAAUACCAAUUACAAACACCUUAUCGCAGCUUAUAAGGAAAUCAUUUUGUCAAGCGUAUAGUACAAAAACGAAGUACUCUGUAGAAACAUACAGAUAGAAAGGCUCAAUGGCAAUGGGCAUAUCUGCAGCGGAGCCGCAACCUCAAGUAUAAUUGCCAUACUUAUCUACACUAAAAAGGAUAGAGAGUGACCCAUGCAUGUGCAUUGAGGGAUACACUAAAGUUAGUUAUGUGCCUAAGCUUGGUUUGUGAAAAAGGCGAAACCAAUUAUUUAUGUGCUUAACACACCAGCAAAUCAAAUGCAGCCUCCACUACAUGUCAAUAGUUCCAAGAAAAACAAAAAUCUAAUAUGAUAUUUAAUUGUAAGCAUACAACAAAUAGUUCCACUCAUAAAUUGGUGUCGCCAUUCCUCAAAAUAGAAAUUUUCAACCUUUCCAUCCUUUUUAAAUUACAACAAAGAGUAUCACUGUUUAAGUUUCUAAGAAAAGUGGAGAAGAAAAGUUGAGGAGCUGAGGACAGGGAAAUGUGAUAAUUUCAAGGAGAUAACUUUGUCUAGUUUUAUAUCCUAUAAUGUUGAAUUUUGAAAAGGUUUUUCUAUUAUUAUGUUGACACUAUGACAGCAUGUUUACGCCAGGAUAAAAUCCUGUCAAAAUUAUUUGUCUAGUUCAAACAGGAUAUCAUGUUCAAGAAUUUGACAAUGAUAGUAUAUCAUCUGCAAUUAUUAUGCUAUAUGACAUGAAGUGUACACGUUUAACUUGGCAAAACAUAACAUACACAGGAUCGGCAAAAAAAUCCCCAGAGCCUUCCUACUCGUCCUAGGCACCUCCCUGCCUCCCUCUCUCCCCUAAUCAGGCUAGUAAAAAUAUAGACCCAAGUUGUAUAUGAACUUUGUCUAGUUUUAUAUUCUAUAAUGUUGAAUUUUGAAAAGGUUUUUCUAUUAUUAUGUUGACACUAUGACAGCAUGUUUACGCCAGGAUAAAAUCUUGUCAAAAUUAUUUGUCUAGUUCAAACAGGAUAUCAAGUUCAAUAAUAUGACAACGAUAGUAUAUCAUAUGCAAUUAUUAUGCUAUAUGACAUGAAGUCUAAUCAUUUAACUUGGCAAAACAGAACAUACACAGGAUCGGCAAAAAAAAAAACCAGAGCCUUCCUACUCGUCCUAGGCACCUCCCUGCCUCCCUCUCUCCCCUAAUCAGGCUAGUAAAAAUAUAGACCCAAGUUGUAUACGAAUCGUCCUAAUCAACAGCAACAUGAUUUACAUUGUCCCUAUAAGAAUUUUAUAGCCUGCAAAGCAGCCUAUUCAUAGGCCGACAGUGCCCCCGUACCGCCAGUUGCCCAGAAGAACCUCCUAUCUGGUGGCAGGGAGACACUGCUUUGGCUCCACCCCAACGAGCAAACCCCAUCGUCAAUAAUCUCACACAUGCAUGAAAGAGCGGGCAAAAAAACUGCACCGCCAGGGUCUCAAAAAUUGGGAUCACAAAAGACAUAGCAAGGCACAUCCUAGCGCAGGAAGUAGUAUAGAUGAAAUAAGCAACAUAAGAAACCAAAACAAACAACUAAAGCACGCACGCAACACCUGGUCAGGUAGAAGAAUAAACAGUAAGUAAUAUAGAGAAACAAAAUUAAAGAAAACAGAAAACGGAGGCACACAAUACAAACCUUGAUAGCAAGUCGGGGAACCGGCAACCUAACAGAUCGGUAAACGACAAAGCAAGUGAAGGCAACGACAACUGGACCUGCAAAACAAAAGGAAGCAAGGAGCCACAUGACGGAUAGUGUCAAGCUAUCUACUGCGAGGACUAUCAUGAAACUAAAAUCUGCUGUUGCAUUACCUACACAGCCUUUGUAUAUGUUAUCAGAUUAACAUGUAUGGAGACAACAGAAUAUACCAGGGGAUAAUUAAGUAACACCAGGAAAACUAUUACCAGAUCACAAACAACGGCAAUCUGACAACCAAAGCACAAGGUUGCCAAAGAAAGGCGCACUUACAGAGUCCAUAAACAAGAUAUCAAGUAGAACACAUAAUAUAAAACAGAGGCGUAAUUCUCCUCUGUAUUCUGAUAUAUAUGCUUCAGAAAUUUGUACCUUCUCUUCUGUUUGAUUUGGUUACCGUAGUUCGAUCUUUUCCCUCUGGUGAGUUAUGCGCCAUCCUUACAUGAUUCAUCAGCAUCACCUAGAAACGAUCUGAGGAAAAACAAAAUCAAAGUGAAAUCAAAUGGAAUCACGUGUAGGUAGUAGCGAAGUACUAUAUCGAAAUCAUUUGUUGCAAUGUAAAUUUGUAAGAUACAUGCAAUUGAUAUCCAAAGGUCACUAUUUUGAAUUCUCUCUAAGCAUAACAGGCAAAAGUAUUAGGUGGAUGCAAAUGCUCCUAUUCUCCUUAUUGUAAGUAGACAAUCUAAAACCAAGGAUGUCAUCAUAAUAACUAAAGGAUAAAAGAAAUUAAAAGGUAAACAUACAGGGGUAUACAAAUAAGGUUGAAGCAUUGCUGGGUACUGGUAGUUGUAAAUCUCUUUGUGAAAUCGUAUUGAAUAGGACAGCUUUUUAACAGAAACAAGACAGAAGCUUUACUUCUUAACCCAUAUAUAAGUUGUCGUUGCACAUGCCCAUAAAUACCUACUCACCUACAUACACACCUAAGCACAAAUACCUACUCACCUACAUAAGUUGCCGUUGCACAUGCCCAUAUAUUUGGUGCAAGUUGUGGCCUCCUUUAAGUAACAUUAUCAUCACUCUUACCUACCUACACACCAUCAAAGGAUGAGGUCAAAGCCAAGUGGAACUGUGGAAGUACUAAAGAAAGGGAAAGUGUCUGAUUCAUAAGCAAAGAGAGCAAGAGACCGAACUUUAAGAAUAUGUAGGAGGUUUAUUAGUAAGGAAAUAGUGGUAACCUUUUCUUAGUAAAUAAGAUCGAUGGAAACAAAUGUACUUUUCAUAUGUGACUCCGGAAAAAAAAUUAAAUAUCUUUUCCUUUAGCUGUACCAUGACCAUAUUUACAAUGGUCCAUCGCACUGUCAAUGUACCACAAUGUGCAUAGCUUAUUGAUGCUUUGGGGCUAACACAUGUUCUUCACAACUAAAUUGGUAGAACGAUAAACAUGAUGUUGAGCUAGAAAAAAUAGAACUACAGACUGGGAAAAGUUCAGGUCCAAAAGCAUAUCUGAUAGAUAUGUCUGUCAGGCGUGUCGAACAUUUUCUACAGUGAGAUAGACUGAGCAGAAGAAACACAUUACUGGUUUUCCAAAAACAUCUUAAGAAAUGGAGCUCUUGGACCAGUGAAUUACACUGGUAUUCUCAAUAUAGAAUAUACCACAUCUGCAAUCUCACUGGUGAGAACCAGUGAAAGAUUAAGAAAUUAUCUAAACCUAUAAGCUUCCAUUCUAACUGGCAGGGAAACAAAAUGUCAAUAUCCUCUCACUUAGUUCAGACAUGUAUAGGAUAGUGUAGCAGUACAUGUGUGUAAACAGAAACCAAGUUCAUUAUGGAAACUGGAAAGUACCAACAAAAUGGCAGUAAAAGGUUUUUAAGUUUUACGUUUAGUAGCACGGGUAGGAAGUAGAUCAGUUCUUUUUUUAGUUCGGGGAAAUUUAGGACAAUGUAGAAUUGCCUAAUUAUUUUAUAUCCAAGAUAGAAGUAUUGGCAGAUUAUCCUCAAACUAUAUUCUUUACAGUUAUAAGAAAUGUUGUCCAAUGCAGAGAAAUAGGCAUGAUAAUUGAUAAGUUUGGUAACUAAGCGUAAAAGACGCUCACUACAAAAAUACAGGCCAUAGAACUGAAAAUAGAAAAACCGAUGAUAAAGAAGGAGGUAACCUGGUAGAGUGCCACACCGAAGGGCAUUUUCCUAAAUAUGUUUGUAAAACACAACUCACGGUCGAUGGACUUAACUAAGGUAUUUUUAAGCACAACAUUUAUAAAGGAAAUUGACCAUAUACUUUUUUAUGAAUGAUGCAAGACUUAUGUUUUUUUUGCAAGAAUCAACCUUAGCAGGCUGUUGUGUAGAGUUACUGUCAGCGGAAGAUGGCGCAGCCAAGAAAAAUUGGUUGUGGAUUUCUUCUAUGCCUGUUGCUCCAUCCUGCAGCAAUUAUUUAGAAAAACAAAUAAGAUGAUUGUCAGAUUAGAUAAGGCACACUUCUUGCACUGAAAACAAAUGUUUUGCAUCAAUAUAAUAGAUGACCAAAAAAUCUGAAUACUAAAAGUGCAAGGUGGAUAUGCAUGAGAAUGGAAGAUCUGAAUGUGCAAGUACAAGCAUUAAGGAAGGUACUAACUAAUUUGUAGCUGUUGCAUUGUACAACCUACACACAGAAAACAAAUGCCAAGAUAGAAAGCUCGCUGUUCUAAAUCAUAUACACGGCCGCUAAGUAAAUUACCGAGUUAGUUUAAGCAGCCUAGGAAAGAGAAAAUAAUCUAGCAAAAUUAGGGAAUCUAGUACUUACUUACUUACUAAGCCUUUUGUCCCAAACAAGUUCGUGUAGGCUAGAUAUAAAACCCUUUCACGAGGUCUUCCCAGGAGAUCCCCAUCCUAGUACUAUUCUCGCCCAAAUGGGUUUCAUACCCAAAGGACUGACUAGUUUUUACGUUGGCUCGCCAAGCCUAUCACAACCCUUAGAUACUCUUAUCAUAACUGAUAAAAAGGAACUAUCCUUGGACAUGCUUAUUAGUUUUACGCUCAAGAGAACUUAUUAGGCAAGUAAACCGUACAAUGUGAUUUCUUAGGUACUUAGCAAUCUCUCAUAGGUUAAUUAGAUGCUCUUUUAUUGAUUUAGAUGUAGUAACCAAGUCAUUAUGUACCAUUUGGCAAGUUCAUGCAUUAAUGCUUCAGCUUUAAGGUCCAUCAAUCAAAACAAAGCCCAAGCACAUACAUUGGGCGAAUUC